rnacentral:rRNA from 1 species
UUUUUAAAGUAAAAAUCGUAACAAGGUCUCCGUUGGUGAACCAGCGGAGGGAUCAUUACCGAGUUUACAACUCCCAAACCCCUGUGAACAUACCACUUGUUGCCUCGGCGGAUCAGCCCGCUCCCGGUAAAACGGGACGGCCCGCCAGAGGCCCCCUAAACUCUGUUUCUAUAUGUAACUUGUGAGUAAAACCAUAAAUAAAUCAAAACUUUCAACAACGGAUCUCUUGGUUCUGGCAUCGAUGAAGAACGCAGCAAAAUGCGAUAAGUAAUGUGAAUUGCAGAAUUCAGUGAAUCAUCGAAUCUUUGAACGCACAUUGCGCCCGCCAGUAUUCUGGCGGGCAUGCCUGUUCGAGCGUCAUUUCAACCCUCAAGCACAGCUUGGUGUUGGGACUCGCGUUAAUUCGCGUUCCCCAAAUUGAUUGGCGGUCACGUCGAGCUUCCAUAGCGUAGUAGUAAAACCCUCGUUACUGGUAAUCGUCGCGGCCACGCCGUUAAACCCCAACUUCUGAAUGUGACCUCGGAUCAGGAGAUGAG